GCCAGCUCGAACCAAAUCAGAGCCGACUCUUUUAAUAGAAUAGAAAGCUAAAAUUUGGAUGUCUAAGAGUCGAGCUGACUCGACUUGUAUCGGAGCCGGCUAUCUCAAUGGAAUAGAAUGCUAAAUUUUUAAGUUCUGAAGUUGAGCUGACCUAAAAUGCAAUAGAGCAGGCUCAAAUACAAAUCGAGCCGGCUCGAGAUCACUUCGAGCCGACUCGAUGCCAUCUAACAGGCAUAACAACUAGUUUUGCAGCA
rnacentral:lncRNA from 1 species